CAUGAUUAAGCUCGCCAGGGAAGAGAAUGAUCCAGAGUUGGAAUCGGAAUCAGUGAAAGCUUUACUUGGAAUUAGAAGGAAUGUGAAAGAAAAAGAGCUUGAAGCUUUAUUAUCUGGGGAGCAUGAUAAUUGCUCUUGUUUUAUAGAGGUUCAAGCUGGAGCUGGCGGUACUGAGAGCAUGGACUGGGCUUCAAUGGUCAUGCAGAUGUACAAAAUGUGGGCUCAACGUAAAGGAUAUGGUGUUUCUGUUGUGGAUGAAAUGCCUGCGUGCAACAAUCAAAGUUGAUGGCGAAAAUGCUUUUGGAUAUGCCAAAUCAGAGGUAGGAGUGCAUCGUCUGGUACGCAUCUCGCCAUUUGAUAGCGCGAAGAGAAGGCAUACUUCCUUUGUUGCAGUUGCUGUAAUCCCAAUUUUGGGAGAUGG
rnacentral:misc_RNA from 1 species